rnacentral:antisense_RNA from 1 species
GUUUAUGGUGGCUGUGCGUGGGAGACUGCAAAGUCUGCCGGGUUCCAAGUUUCCCGGUUCGCCAACCUGCGUACAGCCACCCCCAUU